rnacentral:rRNA from 1 species
UUGGGUUAAGUCCCGCAACGAGCGCAACCCUUGCCUUUAGUUGCCAGCAGUUCGGCUGGGCACUCUAAAGGGACUGCCGGUGUUAAACCGGAGGAAGGUGGGGAUGACGUCAAGUCCUCAUGGCCUUUAUGACCAGGGCUACACACGUACUACAAUGGCCGAUACAAAGGGCAGCGACACUGCGAGGUGAAGCCAAUCCCGUAAAAUCGGUCUCAGUCCGGAUUGGAGUCUGCAACUCGACUCCAUGAAGUUGGAAUCGCUAGUAAUCGUGGAUCAGCAUGCCACGGUGAAUACGUUCCCGGGCCUU